ACGAGUUUUUGACCACUCUUUAUGUGACCUCAAAAUGUAGAGAUUCUUCCUUAUUUUUAAACAAUGGGCUUUCAGACAUCCAUGCCAAUAUUGAACAUUUUGUAGUAUAUGCUUCUAGUAAAAAACCAUGCCUUCAUUUAGAUUGUUUGAAUUUUUGCUUAUUAUCUCCUUCCUUCUCUUAUACAUCUGCGUCUGAGACUUUCAAACAUUUAAGACAAUCUAACGAAUUCUUAACAUCAAAAAUUUUAAACAUAUUGAAGACCCAUAAGAAUGUUUCUUCUCAAAAUAUUUUUCUGAAUAAAUCCACAACUGAGAGUCAAUUCGUACUUGAAGGAAUUGUAAUUGUUCCAGUUUUUUUUGAUUCAAUAUCUUCUUUGUUCAAAGACCACGAGCCGCUUAAGACAUUAGAUACCUCUACGAUGGGUGCCAAGUUGGAAGAAACACUACUCCAUACACUGACGAGUCUAACCACAACAUUUCCCACGUCUUCCUUUCGCUACUUUACUCUCAUUGAUAUUGACAUGAGGUCUUUCUUCUACAGCCAAUGCAGAGAAGGCUUACCUAGUUUUUUAGUACAACUUUUCUUAAAAUACAAUUGUGAUGUGCAUUGGACUACACGAGGAGGCGAGGUCUAUUCUAGUCAGAUUGGAUUAAACGUUGGGUCAUUGCACUCGAAAAAUGCGCGGCUGGUCAUGCUCCAUGCGCGUUUCGUACACGUGUCACUCAUUCUCUAGUUGCAAAACAUCCAGCUGGUGUUAACAAAAAUUGGAUAUCUCAACUCAUUCAAAUUCCUGGUGUUGAUUAUUUUGCCUCGGUUGCUAUAGCUGAAAGAUUCCCCACUCCAAACGAUAUUAUUUCUUUUAUGAUAACUCAACAAAACGUCAAAGAUGCUGUUUCUUAUCUAAGUUCAAUAAUGGUACACCGCAGUAAUGGCUCAAAACCUUUAACUUCAUCUGUUGCAUCCCGUCUGUACUAUUUGUUUAACAUGAAUUCAAAGCGUACCGAUUGGAUUAUACCUGAAAUUGACUAGCGAAAUAAUACUUUAUAAUAAAUAAAAUAUUAUAUUUUUAACUUUCAUUGAUGCUAUGAUGGUAUCAGAAAUCAUACCAAAUAACCGACAUUGUUUACAACAUGCUAGAGCUAUAAGCCACAUUAGAAAGGACGAUGUCGCUGUGCAAAUUCAACGUUGUACAUAAUUUUAUUUUAAAAGAAAUGUUUCACUUUUGAUUGAAGUGCUACUGCUUGAAAAAGUAUUAAAAAAUUUUGUUUUUUUUUCAAACCUGUAACACUGAUAGAAUCCUUCCACACUGGUGUUUUCAAAAAUCCAGUGUUUACAUUAUAGCACAUGCAUAUGGUUGA